GACGAACGCUGGCGGCGUGCUUAACACAUGCAAGUCGAACGGAAAGGCCCUGCUUUUGUGGGGUGCUCGAGUGGCGAGCGGGUGAGUAACACGUGAGUAACCUGCCCUUGACUUUGGGAUAACUUCAGGAAACUGGGGCUAAUACCGGAUAGGAGCUCCUGCUGCAUGGUGGGGGUUGGAAAGUUUCGGCGGUUGGGGAUGGACGCGCGGCUUAUCAGCUUGUUGGUGGGGUAGUGGCUUACCAAGGCUUUGACGGGUAGCCGGCCUGGGAGGGUGACCGGCCCCAUUGGGACUGAGAUACGGCCCAGACUCCUACGUGGGGCAGCAGUGGGGAAUAUUGCACAAUGGGCGGAAGCCUGAUGCAGCAACGCCGCGUGCGGGAUGACGGCCUUCGGGUUGUAAACCGCUUUCGCCUGUGACGAAGCGUGAGUGACGGUAAUGGGUAAAGAAGCACCGGCUAACUACGUG
rnacentral:rRNA from 1 species